UGUUGUUUCAUGGUGGGUGAUAACCUGUGUUUCAAAGCUGGCUACGUCUAUGACUUCGGUGACUUAACAAACAUGAGCAGAUGGUGCACUUAGUGGUUGGUACUUCAGCAUAGGACUGUGACCUGGGUGUUGCUCCCUGUGAGACUCCAUGUGGUAGCACCCCUGACUAGUAUAGCAGGACUCUACGUUUUAGGGUUGUGUGAUGAAAAACUGGAUUUUUUUCUUUUUCUUUUUCUUUUUUUUUGGUUUUGGUUUUUCAAGACGGGGUUUCUCUGUAUCGCCCUGACUGUCCUGGUUGAACUCAGAAAUCUGCCUGCCUCUGCCUCCCAAGUGCUGGGAUUAAAGGCAUGUGCCACCACUGCCUGGCUAAAACUGGAUAUUUUUAAGAGGAAGGAAUUAAGUCUCUGUGUGUGUGUUUGUGUGUGUGUGUAUUGUGGGUAGAUGGGGUGGGGGUGGGGCGCUCAGUGGUUAAGAAUACUGGCUGCUUUUCCAGAGGACUCAAGUUCAAUUCUCUGAGCCUACAUGACAGCUCACAGCUGUCUGUAACUCAAGUCCCAGGAAUCUUGUGGCCUCCGUGGACACCAAGUAGGCACAUAAUGCACUUACACACUUGCAAGCAAAACACCCAUACAUAUAAACAUAAAUAAAUUAUAUUCUAAAGAGUAUAGUUAAGGGGAGACUAAACGUUGGGCCAAUCAGAGUUCGGCAUGGCUCUAAUUGUAAGUGUGAGCCCCGCUUUUGCUGCCCUGUAGUCAGUUGGGUGCUAACAGGAGAGGCUGGGAAGGGAAGAUCUUGGAGGCUCAGUAGGAGAUCUCUUGACAGUUUUAACCCUUUGAGUGCCCGCUGGAUCCAAGCUGGCAGCACAGCAGUCUUCUAGCAUCAACUUUCAGGAUCCUGCUGUUUCCUGAGUGGUGUCAGUUGGGACAAAUGCUACAUGGAUGAAAUCACAGAGAUGAGCAGAUAUGCUGGUAGCCCCUAGUUCAGGCUCUUGCCUUGUGGCCACAUACAUAAGCAUUGAGGUACCCCAAGAGUCACCCUGUCCUCUGUCCCCCAAGAGGCUGUGCUCUGUGCACACACAUACAGGUCCUGCUGCUCCUGUGUGUGACUGUAUUGUACAUAGAAAAACAUACAAAAUUAUCCAAUCUUGAAUUCCCCGCUCACGCACUGCUAGAAUGCUUCUGUUCAAGUCACUAGCAAAGUGUUACAGACCAUGAGCGCCUCAGCAUUCGCCUGAUUUCAUUUCCCUCUCC
rnacentral:lncRNA from 1 species